CCUACGGGUGGCUGCAGUGGGGAAUAUUGGGCAAUGGGGGAAACCCUGACCCAGCGACGCCGCGUGAAGGACGAAGGCUUUCGGGUUGUAAACUUCUUUGGGGAGGGACGAAAUUGACGGUACCUCCAGAACAAGCCACGGCUAACUACGUGCCAGCAGCCGCGGUAAUACGUAGGUGGCAAGCGUUAUCCGGAUUUACUGGGUGUAAAGGGCGCGCAGGCGGUUCUGAAAGUCAGAUGUGAAAGAUCAAGGCUUAACUUUGACAGGUCAUCUGAAACUUUGGGACUUGAGUAUCAGAGGGGAAAGUGGAAUUCCUGGUGGAGCGGUAAAAUGCGCAGAGAUCAGGAGGAACACCGGUGGCGAAGGCGACUUUCUGGCUGACAACUGACGCUGAGGCGCGAAAGCGUGGGGAGCAAACAGGAUUAGAUACCCCAGUAGUC
rnacentral:rRNA from 1 species